GACGAACGCUGGCGGCGUGCUUAACACAUGCAAGUCGAACGAUGAAGCCUAGCUUGCUAGGUGGAUUAGUGGCGAACGGGUGAGUAAUACGUGAGUAACCUACCUUUAACUCUGGGAUAAGCCUGGGAAACUGGGUCUAAUACCGGCUACGACCAAUCUCCGCAUGGGGUGUUGGUGGAAAGCGUUAUGUAGUGGUUAUAGAUGGGCUCACGGCCUAUCAGCUUGUUGGUGAGGUAACGGCUCACCAAGGCGACGACGGGUAGCCGGCCUGAGAGGGUGACCGGCCACACUGGGACUGAGACACGGCCCAGACUCCUACGGGAGGCAGCAGUGGGGAAUAGUGAACAAUGGGCGAAAGCCUGAUGCAGCGACGCCGCGUGAGGGAUGAAGGCCUUCGGGUUGUAAACCUCUGUUAGCAGGGAAGAAGAGAAAUUGACGGUACCUGCAGAGAAAGCGCCGGAUAACUACGUG
rnacentral:rRNA from 1 species